GGGUCUGGAGGUGCAUUUCAGACCCGCAAACGGGGCUAGAAAGACUGGUGGUUUAUAUGCACCCUUGGUGAUUUCUCUACCACCGAUCACAAUAACCGGAGAAAAUGACUUACCCGGGGGGCAUUUACCCUGAGCCCCAUCCCGCGCAACAGUGUUUACAAAAUGAUUAUAUAAAUAGGCUCCCCGAGCCACCUCUCUGCUCUAAAAGUAUCACUGCUUCUGAGCUGCCGGGCGGAGUCCCGCAGACGUCAGCAUCUAAGCCCAGGCGAGAACUCGCCACCCCUGCAGCCUGGUUAAGACCAGGAAAUUGAGGCAAAGAGCAGAAGACUGGAUCCGGGAUACACAGUGAGUCAGCGACGCAAGAAAGGAAGACAACAACUGUUAAGGUUCACUCAGAAGAAGAGAGAAAUGGACAUCUGCAAUGUUCCAGUUCAGGAAGCAGUGCUUGCUAUUGGAUGGACAGUCAGCCCCUAUGCUGAACCCAGAACAGUUUCAGUGGCCGCCUGUUGCAAUUCAUUGCCUUUCACGGGGCCCAACUCUCCGACUUUCUAAGAAGAAUGCUCCCAUGGAUGGCUUGAGAAUUAUCUGGAGAAUUCUAGAGAGAAGAAGCUCAAGGAUCUCAAGUCGUUCUGUAGAUACUUAUUAAGAACGAAGCAAGCACCCGAACUCUAUGAGGCCAUAAAGAUGCAGGCAGGGAUUGGUCAGUUGAACCUCUACCCUUAAGACCCACGCAGGCUAGUGAAAGAAAGAGGUGCCUAUACUUUGUGCUGCUCUGUCUUGUUCCUUGGUGCCAUUCCCACACUUCCUGGUGUCAUGCUCUGCACCUUGUUGCUACUCAAGAAAUAGCUGUUGAACUGAAUCACUAUGCUGCUUUGAGGGAUAUGGCUCAAAGACAAUGAAGAUAGACUGAAAUCUCAUGGCUCAGGAAAUGGGAGCACAUACUGCAAAGAUGGACUAAUUAAUGAGUUAAUGAACCUUGAAAAAAUAGAAUCAUAAAUGCCAAUGACAAGUAUCAGUUUAUGAAGCUUAAUUAUAAACAGAAUAAAUAAAUUCAUUGAUCCAGCUGGCCAGAUAGCAACCAUCUUUAUUAAAAGGCAUGAGCAGGGUAAGAACAGUUAAACAGAGAUGAGUAGAAGGCAAAAUAUGUACAAUUAAUCAUGGUGGUAAAUAUAACCAGUUUUAUAUCAACACCAAGGCGUGUACCAUA